AUGAGUGAGGAGUACAAGCCGCCGAAAGCCGUGAAGAUCAAAAUCGGCUCACUGAAAUCCGAGCUGAGCAGCAUCAAUGCUUUUCUCAAGAAGUUGGCUGACAGGGAGGAUCUAGACGGUCAGACCAAGGAAUGGAGGGACCAGGUGAGAGAGAUGGCCUAUGAAAUCAGGACUGCGUUGAUAACUACAUGCACAAGCUCCACCAUGAGCCGGAUAAAGUAG
rnacentral:rRNA from 1 species